CCCUCCCCCCAGAGAUGUCCAUGCUCUAAUCCCCCAAACCUGUGCAUAUGUUAGGUGGGAUUAAGGUUGCUAAAUCAGCUGACCUUAAAAUAGAGAAAUUAUCUCAGAUUAUUCAGGUGGGCCCCAAAUAGUGACAACAGUCUAUUUAAGAAGCAGGAGGCAGGAGAGUCCAGAGGACUGGUCAGAAUGAUCCAGUGUGAGCAAGAUUUGACCCUUUCAUUGCCAGCUUAGAAGACAGAGAAAGGGACCUGUGAGCCAAGGAACGUGGGUGACCUCCAGAAGGUGGAAAAGGUAAAGAACCAAGACCCCAAGAAGAAAAAGAUCUUGCCUAAGGACUUAAGGCAGGUGAUAAAAUACAAAAUCAAAAUGGAAACAAUGCAGGUUGUACCGCAAGAGCAGAAUCAUAAAAGGUGGAAAAAUGAGGGUAGAAACGGAAAUACCAUCAGGAUAAUGUUAUUGUCACUGAUCCUAGCCAUGAAUUCCUGCCCGGGUUCUUCAUAAAGAGAACACCAUGCAACGUACAAGCAAAAACAUCCUACAGAUUCCAGACAAGAACCUGAUCCGAAACCCCGAUCUCCUGACUUUCUACCAUGCUGCGUAGAGAUGCCGGCUACCCAUUCUUCCCGGCACGAGUGAACUGUAGAUUCCCUAUGACAUCUUCAUUUUCUUCUACCCUUCAGUGGGCUGGAAGGCCAAGUCUCUCUGAUUAUAACUCAAGUGGACCCCAGGGGAGCCAGAGCUGGAGCUGGCUCACCAUCCCCACCUCUGGGUGAACAAUUCAAAGCACUGCAUCCCUCCUGGCACCAUCCUCAACCUGCAAAUUCUCCUAUAGUUUCUUGGGGAGACGUCAGCCCCAACCUCUCAGCAGCACUGAAUCCCUCUUUCAAUAUGGGUUGGCACUGAUAUUUCACGGCUGACCAUGAGGAAAUAAGUUGGCCAAAGACCACCCUGGCAUGGAGUGAGAAUUCCAGGGAGAGCAGAGAGGAUAAGCUGGUCCCGAAGGCCUCCCCACGUGGGCAUCCAGGCUGGAGGCUCAGGCCAAUAAAGCUUUCCUGGGAACCCCUCCCACACCAGGCUGAAAGGCGACUGAAGGCACAGUCUCUUGGGCCCCCUUCCAAAAGACUAGCAGCCUGAUGCCACACCUACACCACCCCCAGAAGCCCAGCUGGGAGGGACAGAGGGAAGCAGAGAGGAAGGAAGAGAGCGUGUCAAACACCAGAGAAGUUUCAGGAAGCAAAGGGCCUAAUCAUGUCCUUAAUUAAAGUGCAGCUCCUGAAAAGUCUCUUCUGAAAUUGGACCAGCUCAAUUACCGUCUUGUCCUGACAACCCCCUCCACCUUUCCUGGACCUCUUGCUCUAUAGCCUCUCAAAAGUCCAGCCUUCUCCAAAGUGAGAGCCCAUGGAGGCAUCUGCUGAAGACAAAGGAAAAACUGGCAUCUUGACCUGAAAACACUUGAAAGUCUCAGCCUGUGCACCAAAUACACAAAUUUUGGACCCCCACGUUCAUUCCCUACUGUGGUUGCUUCCUCUGUGGAGAUCGGCAACUCUGAGCAUCACUAGGGAGAGAGCGGGGCCACAAUGGGGACAGCUGUGCCUGUAGAGACCUUGACAACUGACUUCAAUGCCCAACUUGCACGGGAGGUGAAGCGUUUGCCAAAAUGCACCUGGCUAGUUCUCCACUAGUCUUACUAGGGGGAAGCCAGCUCUGUGGGUAAUCUCACAGAGUAUUUACAUCUGCUCUUAGAAUAAAGGAUAAACUCUGAUCUUCUAAAAAUCGUUGCUUGCUUGUGCAGCAUUUGAUUUAUACCUUUAAUCAUGUUUUACUGAAUUGGUGUGUGUCUCCCCAAGGCACAGCAACUGGAUGGGAGGCACAGUGUCCGGGUGGGGCCCCAGCAUUGGGGUGUCCAGGCCCGGACGUGAACGCUCAUAGAGGAGACCCAGGAGUUCACUCCAUUGGGCUAAUGACCAAGAACAAGUAAAAUGCCACAAGCAAGCAAAGGUGUCUCAUUUUAAGAGGCAAGUUCAUAUAGAGUCUUGACU